CCAGUGUGGACGCCCAGGGAGGUCACUGCCUCCAGACUCUGUCCACGUGGCUUAGGGGAGCAUAGAGCUCUGCCUGUGACAUGCAGUGCCUGUCCACCAUGUUGGAGAAGAUACCAGGCCUUGUGUCUGCACCGGCACUUUCCUACAGCUUCCCAGAGUCUGGCAGGACAAUGACUAAGGAGACAAACCAUGUAGGAAACAUGU
rnacentral:snoRNA from 1 species